GAUGAACGCUAGCGGCAGGCUUAAUACAUGCAAGUCGAGCGGUAACAGGUGUAGCAAUACAUGCUGACGAGCGGCAGACGGGUGAGGAACACGUACGCAACUUUCCUCAAACCGGGGCACAACCUUGAGAAAUCAGGGCUAAUUCCCCAUAACAUUGCGAGAGGGCAUCUGAUUGCAAUUAAAGAUUCGUCGGUUUGAGAUGGGCGUGCGUUCGANGGUCUAGUUGGUAGGGUAACGGCUUACCAAGGCAACGAUCGAUAGCUGGUGUGAGAGCACGACCAGCCACACGGGCACUGAGAUGCGGCCCGACUCCGUAGGGAGGCAGCAGUAAGGAAUAUUGGUC
rnacentral:rRNA from 1 species